UAAACUAGGAUUAGAUACCCUAUUAUUAUAAAUGUUUAUUUUUAUACUGAAUUAUUAAUAGUUAUGUUCUUUAAAAUUAAAAAAUUUGGCGGUAUUUUAGUCUUUUCAGAGGAACCUGCCCUGUAAUUGAUAAUCCACGAUUAGGAAUACUUUAUUUAUUAAUUUACAUAUCGUCGUAGUUUGAAUAUUUUAUUAGAAUUAUAAUAUUCAAGAUUUUAUUUUAGAAAAUAUAUCAGAUCAAGGUGUAGUUUAUAUUAAAGAAGAGGUGGGUUACAAUAAAUUUAUUUUUGAAUAAAUUUUUUGAAAAAAUUUUGAAUUUGGAUUUGAAAGUAAUUUUUUGAAGUUUACUAAAAAUGAUCAUAGCUCUAAAAUAUGUACACAUCGCCCGUCGCUCUUAA
rnacentral:rRNA from 1 species